CACACCGCCCGCCACACCAUGGGAGUUGGAUUCACUCGAAGGCGUUGAGCUAACCCGCAAGGGAGGCAGGCGACCACAGUGGGUUUAGCGACUGGGGUG
rnacentral:rRNA from 1 species